GCUAUAAAUAGGUUAAGAUAAAACCGUGGCGUUGUGAUCGCCGAAAUUAUGCUUUCAUAAUAUUAUAGCU
rnacentral:tRNA from 1 species